AUGGAAGAUGAGGAGGAGGUCGCUGAGAGCUGGGAAGAGGCAGCAGACAACGGGCAGGAAAUCCAAAUCUCCUCCCAAAGUGCCCAUUGUGAUUCAGGACACAGAUCCGUAUCCUCAAAAGGCCUACCAGCAACAGUGUGGUCAACAGCCCCAACUCCACUAGCAGGCCCACCCUUCUGGUCAAGGCCCUAGCACAGCGGGAGGCUGAGUACACCGAGGCCCGGAAGCAGACCCUGGGCAGCGCCAGCCCAGAGGAGGGGCAGGAGAAACCCAUCCUCGACAGGCCAACCAGGAUUUCCCAACCCGAAGACAGCAGGCAGGCAGCCCAAAAAUGUGAUCAGACAGCCUUUGGGUCCUGAUGGGUCACAAGGCUUCACAGCGCAGAUAAAUGCAGGCAAGAAAAGAUGCCACCGUCGCUGCCUCCUGGGUCGUCUGCCACGGGUUGCACUGCUGCGGCAGACAGCUGGACUUGAGCAGAAAGAACGACCUGACUUACUUGCACUGUGAUCCCCCUUGCUCCGCCCACUGUGACCUUGAACCCCAUGCACUGUGACCUCCCCCCUCUCCCCCUUCCCACUGUGAUUGGCACGUCGACAAGGGCUGUCCCAAGGCAAUGGAAAGGGAAAGGGUGGGAGUUAGGGGAAGGUUGGGGGGACCCACCAAGGACUCAGAGUAGAGAGUCAGACAGUACCACUUGGGGUAAAGCCAGUUCCAGCAACAACAGUUUAUCAUGGUCAUUAAUUUGGGAUUUCAAAACACAAAUGAGAACUCACACCCACCUACCCCCAAGUGCAUGUUUUCAUCACUUAAGAAGUAAGUUCCAUUUGAAAAUAUCUUUUCUUUUUUUUCUUCCUAUUUUUAUUUGUUUAUACAAAUAUCUGAUUUGCAAGAAAAAGCACAUGGGAGGGGUUUUAGUGGUUUAAUGAAUUUUUAAUUGAGAAAGGUCAGUUUGGUAGUCUACUUAAAAAUGUUUCUGAGAAAUUCACUAGAAACAGUAACCAAUAGGAUUUUGGUGAGUUUAGCUUCUUUAUUCCUACUGCCGCCCGGAAAAGGGGCAGGGCUCUGCAGCCACCAGGACAGAUGAGCGCCCCAUGCCUAUACCUCCCUCCCUGAGCUAAGUCCCAGGGCAUCUGGGCCUUGCCUGGAGACUGGGCUAGCUCUGUAGGCUCAGAGAGCCUGGGGAGGGUACCAACCCCACCUCUAGUAUUUUGGGAGAUAGGGAAAGUGAACAGACUUCCCCUUCCCAUACCCCUCAGGGUGGUUCCCUACCAGCCAGGCUUACUACUUCUAGAGGAGAGCAGAGUGCCAGGGAGUGAGAUUGCAUCCCUGGGCUUAGCAGUGAAGGAGAGGAGACUUGUUUAGUAUUUUGCCAUCAACACAAGGAAAACCAGGAGAGAGUCUGGCUCCAGGACUCUAAGCCUUCUGCCUCGUACAGUCAGAAGGUGGAUAGGUCUUCCCACUCCAGCAUGGCUUGAACUCUUAAGGGUCUGUGGUGCUCCAUCUCCAUUGCUGGCCCUAGCUCAGUAACUAUACCUGGUACAUUUCAUGUGUGCAAUCAGUAACUUGAAGGCAGAACAUUCUGAAUAAAGUUGGAAAUAUAACAGCUUUGUUUUGCAAAGAUUGAUGACAGACUGUUUUCUCAGAGCCUGAGACUACCCAUCACCCCUUUUUCCAGUGAGGGCUUGGAAUGAAGGCAGUUUCCCCUCUGUCCCUGGAGCCAGGGGUUUACUUUGGCUCCUUGAGGUGGAAGAGGCUAAGAGGGCAGCUGCCCAGAGUGGCUCUGUGUGGACCCGGCUUUUCUCAGGCUUCCUGAUCCCUUCCGUUGCACUACGCCUUAUCCCUCAGCCAGCCAGACGGCCUCCCCACUCCUGACCAGCAGAUAUGUUUCGGAGUGGUUGGUGUGGUUUUGUGAUUAGGGCAGCAUGUGUUGGCCAAGGUGGCAAGCUGAGUCUCACAGGCUCACUCCACCGUUGGUUCCCUGUGGGAAUGGUAGGCCAGGCCCAGAAAACCAUGCUCCACCACGUCCUCCCCUCCAGAGGAAGGGCCAGUUGCCAGCUGUUAGCAGCUAGUCCACGGCACAGCCUUCUGCCUGUGUGAAGCCAGCCAUUCCCUGUGAGCAAAGCUGGAACCAGAGCUUCAGUCAGUAAGAGGGAGGAUUACCUUCAGGAGAAGGCAAGGAAGAAGUUGGCUGCUACCUUUAUAUUCCACUGCCCUAACCAAGUGUCCCCAUUCUAAAUGUAUAGUGUCCAUCCCUCAUGUAACAAUGGUUUCCCGCCCAAAGUGAGACUGUCCUUUCAAUUGGACAAGGGUAUAGAGGUAGUCCAAGUGGGAAGGCCAGAAGUGCUCGUUAACCACCCACUGGGACCACCUGUUCUUGCCCCACUACUCUCUAGUAGGGGCCAAAGUAAAGAGUGGCCAGUGGGUGGCUGUGGAUUGAGGAUGUGGCAGGGACUGGUCCUCCCACCUCCCUCUGGCCAAAGAUGGGCUUAGCCCACUGUGUGCCUGUCAACCACCCACCAGCAGUGAUGCCCUGGGCUUCCCAAAUGGAGAGGUGGUAGGCAAUGUUUUUAAAAA